rnacentral:rRNA from 1 species
UGGGGAAUAUUGGACAAUGGGCGCAAGCCUGAUCCAGCCAUGCCGCGUGAGUGAUGAAGGCCCCUAGGGUUGUAAAGCUCUUUCAGCGAGGAGGAUAAUGACGUUACUCGCAGAAGAAGCCCCGGCUAACUUCGUGCCAGCAGCCGCGGUAAUACGAAGGGGGCUAGCGUUGUUCGGAAUCACUGGGCGUAAAGCGCACGUAGGCGGACUUUUAAGUCAGGGGUGAAAUCCCGGGGCUCAACCUCGGAACUGCCUUUGAUACUGGAAGUCUGGAGUCCGAGAGAGGUGAGUGGAACUCCGAGUGUAGAGGUGAAAUUCGUAGAUAUUCGGAAGAACACCAGUGGCGAAGGCGGCUCACUGGCUCGGUACUGACGCUGGGGUGCGAAAGCGUGGGGAGCAAACAGGAUUAGAUACCCUGGUAGUCCACGCCGUAAACGAUGGAAGCUAGCCGUCAGGGUGCAUGCAUCUUGGUGGCGCAGUUAACGCAUUAAGCUUCCCGCCUGGGGAGUACGGUCGCAAGAUUAAAACUCAAAGGAAUUGAC